CUUUUGCAACCACAUCUCCAGGGUAAAAGCUUCAGGUCAUCAGAAAAGUUGGUACUUCCUCUGCCUACAGCUGACUCUGGAAGAUGGACCUGUACCAUAUCAGCAAUGCUUUGUGUUGUGCUUGCAAGAAUGAUAAUAGAACCAACAAAAUUGUUUUAUUUCCUUCUCUGUGCACACUACAGAGAAAGUCCAGGACAAAGAAUUGAAGCCUUUCAUCAGCUACCAUUUAUCUCCUCUUUUUUAUGAAGAUGCAAGGAGAAGAUGACAAUUGCUGAUGCUGUGAUCACUUCAUCUAUUUUUGCUGAUGUACUAUUCAGUGCUACAAUUUGGUUCUACUAAUUGAUUCCUCCUACAGAAAAACAGCUGAUGAACUCCCAUCUUAAAAAGUAUGCCUAAAUAGGGUUGAUCUGCCAACUCUUUUAAGACUGCAGCUACUUUUGAUUACUUAACAUAACAAUAAGCAUCUUAGUCACUCAGUUGCUGUAGAUAACACUUGCAUAUUCUUUCACUAUUCCUGGUUGUAACCAUAAGUAUCUGAUGAAAAAAUCAGUUUGUUAUUCAAGUUAUGGACUCACUCUGUACCUCUCUACUUCUGCUUUUCCAUGCAACAAUAAAAGAUAGCUGGUAUUAGGUGUGGUUGGAAAUGA